rnacentral:rRNA from 1 species
GACGAACGCUGGCGGCGUGCUUAACACAUGCAAGUCGAACGGAAAGGCCCUGCUUUUGUGGGGUGCUCGAGUGGCGAACGGGUGAGUAACACGUGAGUAACCUGCCCUUGACUUUGGGAUAACUUCAGGAAACUGGGGCUAAUACCGGAUAGGAGCUCCUGCUGCAUGGUGGGGGUUGGAAAGUUUCGGCGGUUGGGGAUGGACUCGCGGCUUAUCAGCUUGUUGGUGGGGUAGUGGCUUACCAAGGCUUUGACGGGUAACCGGCCUGAGAGGGUGACCGGCCACAUUGGGACUGAGAUACGGCCCAGACCCCUACGGGAGGCAGCAGUGGGGAAUAUUGCACAAUGGGCGGAAGCCUGAUGCAGCAACGCCGCGUGCGGGAUGACGGCCUUCGGGUUGUAAACCGCUUUCGCCUGUGACGAAGCGUGAGUGACGGUAAUGGGUAAAGAAGCACCGGCUAACUACGUG